GAUGAAGAACGCAGCGAAAUGCGAUAAGUAAUGUGAAUUGCAGAAUUCAGUGAAUCAUCGAAUCUUUGAACGCACAUUGCGCCCGCCAGUAUUCUGGCGGGCAUGCCUGUUCGAGCGUCAUUUCAACCAUCAAGCCCCAGGCUUGUGUUGGAGCCCUGCGGCUGCCACAGCCUCCCAAAACCAGUGGCGGGCUCGCUAUCACACCGAGUGCAGUAGUUUACUCUUCGCUCAGGGCGUGUGGCGGGUGCUAGCCGUAAAACCCCCAACUUCUCAAGGUUGACCUCGGAUCAGGUAGGAAUACCCGCUGAACUUAAGCAUAUCAAUAAGCGGAGGA
rnacentral:misc_RNA from 1 species